rnacentral:rRNA from 1 species
AUUCCACCUGGGGAGUACGUCGGCAACGAUGAAACUCAAAGGAAUUGACGGGGGCCCGCACAAGCGGAGGAACAUGUGGUUUAAUUCGAUGAUACGCGAGGAACCUUACCCGGGUUUAAAUGUAGGACGAAAUUCUGAGAAAUCGGAACCCCUUCGGGCGGACUACAAGGUGCUGCAUGGCUGUCGUCAGCUCGUGCCGUGAGGUGUCGGGUUAAGUCCCAUAACGAGCGCAACCCCUAUCGUUAGUUGCUAACAGGUUAAGCUGAGGACUCUAGCGAGACUGCCACCGUAAGGUGUGAGGAAGGUGGGGAUGACGUCAAGUCAGCACGGCCCUUAUAUCCGGGGCUACACACGUGUUACAAUGGUCGAUACAAAGGGCAGCUACACAGCGAUGUGAUGCAAAUCUCUAAAGUCGAUCUCAGUUCGGAUUGAAGUCUGCAACUCGACUUCAUGAAGUUGGAUUCGCUAGUAAUCGUGCAUCAGCAACGGCACGGUGAAUACGUUCCCGGGCCUUGUACACACCGCCCGUCAAGCCAUGGAAGCUGAGGGUACCUGAAGUCUGUAACCGUAAGGAGCGGCCUAAGGUAAAAUUAGUAACUGGGGCUAAGUCGUAACAAGGUAGCCG